AACAUGGCAGACGACGCCGUAAGGAGUGUUUUGCAUUCAAUUGGUUUACAUUCACUGUAUCAAAAUUUUAUGAGUCAAAAAAUAGAUUCUAUUGAGAUUUGUAAAUCGUUAGAAGAUAACCAGUUAACAAAUUUAGGUCUGGUGACCAUUGGUGAAAGAAUUAAGUUUAAAAAUGCAGUGCAGCAUUGGCAAUCCAUGCCCAUCAUGCCCAUGGCUGAGAGCGAUACGGCCGCAUCUGGAUCUAGGAUCUCGACAGGGAUUUUAGAGUUAGUUGCAAUAAGACCAGCAAGAAGUAAACAUCAGUUGCAAUAAGACCAGCAAGAAGUAAAUAUCAGUUGCAAUAAGACCAGCAAGAAGUAAACAUCAGUUGCAUUUAGACCAGCAAUAAGGAAAGAACUUAAUAUUAAGUGUUAAAGUAAAAAUAGCUUAUUUUGGAAUAUUAUGAAACUUGUGGUUAAAUAGAAAAUAAAAUAUGAUCAAGAAUA